rnacentral:tRNA from 1 species
GGGGGAUGGCUCAGUGGUGGAGCAUGUGCUUAGCAUGCAGGAGGUCCUGGGUUCAAUCCCCAGUACUACCA